rnacentral:rRNA from 1 species
GGGGAAUUAGGGUUCGAUUCCGGAGAGGGAGCCUGAGAAACGGCUACCACAUCUAAGGAAGGCAGCAGGCGCGCAAAUUACCCAAUCCUAAUACAGGGAGGUAGUGACAAGAAAUAACAAUACAGGACUUUUUGGUUUUGUAAUUGGAAUGAGUUAAGUAUAAACCCCUUUACAAGUAUCAAUUGGAGGGCAAGUCUGGUGCCAGCAGCCGCGGUAAUUCCAGCUCCAAUAGCGUAUAUUAAAGUUGUUGCAGUUAAAAAGCUCGUAGUUGGAUUUCUGUUAAUAAUUUGUAUAAAAUAUUUUGAAUAUUUAUAUAAUAUUAACAUAAUUCAUAUUACUAUAUAUUUUAGUAUAUGAAAUUUUACUUUGAGAAAAUUAGAGUGCUUAAAGCAGGCAUAUGCCUUGAAUACUCCAGCAUGGAAUAAUAUUAAAGAUUUUUAUCUUUUUUAUUGGUUCUAAGAUAAGAAUAAUGAUAAU